rnacentral:rRNA from 1 species
CAGCAGCCGCGGUAAUACGUAGGUGGCAAGCGUUGUCCGGAAUUAUUGGGCGUAAAGGGCUCGCAGGCGGUUUCUUAAGUCUGAUGUGAAUGCCCCCGGCUCAACCGGGGAGGGUCAUUGGAAACUGGGAAACUUGAGUGCAGAAGAGGAGAGUGGAAUUCCACGUGUAGCGGUGAAAUGCGUAGAGAUGUGGAGGAACACCAGUGACGAAGGCGACUCUCUGGUCUGUAACUGACGCUGAGGAGCGAAAGCGUGGGGAGCGAACAGGAUUAGAUACCCCCGUAGUCCCUGUCUCUUAUAA